UUUGUGAGUCUCAAAUUAUAUUAUCACUUUAUGUCAUAAUUCUGGAGAUCGUUGAGCCAAUCUGGUAUUGGAUGACAGGACAGCAAAUUGUAUAGAGACAUGAAGCAAUCUGCUAAUGAAUUUGACUUACAGGAAAAAACUUGAUUCGAACACGGACAGACCAAAAUAAGUGAGAAGUAUAUACGGCGCGUAUGAUAAAGAAGAUCGAGUGCUGGCAUCCGCGCUGUACUCGUGUUACCUGAUGUCAAAGGAGCUGGGUGAACAAGUUGAAACUUGUAGCGUAAAUAAGUAUGAACAGUUACUCGUGGAGAAAGACGUAGACACCGUUGACGGUUAAAAAUCAUCAUCAUAAUUUCGAAGGUGUAGCACUAAAAGCGAUGCCUGCUAAGUACUUUGAACAUGUCGAAUAAUUUAACAAACGUUAACGAAGAUGAUUUAUUCUACCCUUACGCGCAAGAUCCGCUUGCUGACUUCGAUGAAAGGUAUCCUGUUCAAGCGACUACCACAAAAUCGACGGCGCCUCAUGAUAACAAGAGUCAAAAGCUGAAAAGUGAUAAGAAGAGGAAGAUAAUUAAAUCUAAAGUUAAAUGCGGAAAAUGGAAGCAGUCAUCUUCAUUUGUGCAAAAUCGGAACGCGGAGAAAGCCACCAAGUUAAUUAAAAUCAGCAUAGUGGAUUUAGGUGCUUCAAAUACAAGUGAAAAUCAAGAAAAAAGUGAUGUUUUAGUGAAAGCCCAAUAUGUGGUAAAAGAUAGUUAUGAUGAUAUAUUGGGACAGACUGAAAAAUUAAUUAACAAUAUUUCAAAGACAUUGUGUAAUUACAGUACUUGUAUUUAUAUGUAACAUGCGAUUAUUUCAUAAAUAUGUUGGAAUCGCAUUUUCGUGUAUUCACAACACAGUAAAUUCCAUCGCAAAUAAAGUCUCUGACUAAUGUCAGAGUACUACAAGCUAUGGAAACAUUUAAUGUAUAUAGUAGAAAUAGUUAAUAUGGUAACUGUUAUUUCAAAAUAUAUU